rnacentral:snRNA from 1 species
GGAUAUGGUGGUCUGGCUGCAACAUCUAUUAAUUGCCAGUGUUGAUUCAGCUGAACUGGCUGGCUGGAUGGCCAUCCCCUUCCUCCUUCACUGAUCUGUGUCUAUCCCUCCUCCAGCAGUGCACUCAAUCGGUGGCAGGGAACGACCUUGCCCAACACAGGAAGGCUGGCCUUCAAUCAAAGGCAUCUCAGCUCAUCUGCCCUGGUGGAACCUUCACACAUGCUGCCAAAACAAUGGGGGAGUCAGGCAGACAGCCACGCACGUACUGGUCCAUAUCCGUUUGAUACCACUGGCUUUGGAGAACAGUUCCAAAC